AGAUUCGGUACCAACUAUUUAUAUUCCCUCUGCACCUCCAGAAGAAGCUGUAGGAGAAUGUAGAAACCAGGAUGGGGAAUGAUAGUACAUGGUGGAGAACUAUAGAGACAGAACUGUAAGAGGAUGCAGGAAGAAUGUUUUUCUAAAUAUUUGCCAGCAGAGGGCAAAAAAAUCUUCCGUUUGCACAGAACAGCCACCUCAUCAUAGUGCAUUAUUGCUUUGAAUUCAUGCAAAUCUGUGCCUUUUGCCUAUUCCAGGAGUGAUUUUAAAGCUAAAUCUACCAUGUCAUAAAUUUCAAAACCAUGUUUUCAUCUGUAUUAUAGAAAUAUCAAUAAUAAAUGUUAUGACGUAAAAUAAAAAGAAAUAUUUAAGAUUGUGCAUUAAAUCAAGGUCACUAAUUAAAUGUAAGCACAUUUUUGACACUGACCCUGUUAACUCUUUUCCUUGUUUCAAUUAAAGCUCAAUAGAUUCUUUUUGGAACACUCUUGAAUCAAUGGAAUGUUGGAAUAACAUGGAUCCAGUUUGCACAAACUUGU